GAUGAACGCUGGCGGCAUGCCUUACACAUGCAAGUCGAGCGACAGCAUGACCUGCCUUGCUCUGUGAAGUUCGCGUGGCGCGCGUGUGUGACAUGUAGCUGAACUUGCCAUUUGGCUGGGGUUACUGUAGGAAACGGUAGCCAAUAACCGCAUAUUCUCUGAAGCGCAAGGCACAGUACCUUCAGGCCGUGCGCCAGAAGAGUGUCCGUUGUCGGAUUAGCUAGUUGGUAAGGUAAAGGCUAACCAAGGCAACGAUCCGUAGCGGGUCUGAGAGGAUGAUCCGCCACACUGGGACUGAGACACGGUCCAGACUCCUACGGGAGGCAGCAGUAGGGAAUUUUCGGCAAUGGGCGAAAGCCUGAUGCAGCAACGCCGCGUGAGUGAAGAAGGUCUUCGGGUUGUAAAGCUCUGUUAGUAGGGAAGAAAAAGUAUGUAAUAAACCAGGCUCUGCAUGACGGUACCUGAACAGAAAGCAACGGCUAACUACGUG
rnacentral:rRNA from 1 species